rnacentral:rRNA from 1 species
CACGUAGGGGGCGAGCGUUGUCCGGAUUCAUUGGGCGUAAAGAGCUCGUAGGCGGCUCAGUAAGUCGGGUGUGAAACCCUCAGGCUCAACCUGGGGACGCCACUCGAUACUGCUGUGGCUAGAGUCCAGUAGGGGAGUGUGGAAUUCCCGGUGUAGCGGUGAAAUGCGCAGAUAUCAGGAAGAACACCUAUGGCGAAGGCAGCACUCUGGGACGGUACUGACGCUGAGAAGCGAAAGCAUGGGGAGCGAACAGG